UACGUAGGAUCCAAGCGUUAUCCGGAAUCAUUGGGUUUAAAGGGUCCGUAGGCGGUUUUGUAAGUCAGUGGUGAAAGCCCAUCGCUCAACGGUGGAACGGCCAUUGAUACUGCAAGACUUGAAUUACUAGGAAGUAACUAGAAUAUGUAGUGUAGCGGUGAAAUGCUUAGAUAUUACAUGGAAUACCAAUUGCGAAGGCAGGUUACUACUAGUUGAUUGACGCUGAUGGACGAAAGCGUGGGGAGCGAACAGG
rnacentral:rRNA from 1 species